rnacentral:rRNA from 1 species
AAAUGAAUAGACGGGGGCCCGCACAAGCAGUGGAUUAUGUGGUUUAAUUCGAAGCAACGCGAAGAACCUUACCAGAGUUUGACAUCCUUCUAACGAAGCAGAAAUGCAUAAGGUGCCCUUCGGGGAAAGAAGAGACAGGUGGUGCAUGGUUGUCGUCAGCUCGUGUCGUGAGAUGUUGGGUUAAGUCCCGCAACGAGCGCAACCCUUAUUGUUAGUUGCUACGCAAGAGCACUCUAACGAGACUGCCGUUGACAAAACGGAGGAAGGCGGGGACGACGUCAAAUCAUCAUGCCCCUUAUACUCUGGGCUACACACGUAAUACAAUGGCGGUUAACAGAGGGAAGCAAAGGAGUGAUCCGUAGCAAAUCCCCAAAAGCCGUCUCAGUUCGGAUCGCAGGCUGCAACCCGCCUGCGUGAAGUCGGAAUUGCUAGUAAUCGCGGAUCAGCAUGCCGCGGUGAAUACGUUCCCGGGCCUUGUACACACCGCCCGU